rnacentral:rRNA from 1 species
GGGGAGUACGACCGCAAGGUUGAAACUCAAAGGAAUUGACGGGGGCCCGCACAAGCAGUGGAGUAUGUGGUUUAAUUCGAAGCAACGCGAAGAACCUUACCAGGUCUUGACAUCCCGUGCAUAGCUCAGAGAUGAGUGAAGUCCUUCGGGACACGGAGACAGGUGGUGCAUGGUUGUCGUCAGCUCGUGUCGUGAGAUGUUGGGUUAAGUCCCGCAACGAGCGCAACCCUUAUCGUUAGUUACUACGCAAGAGGACUCUAGCGAGACUGCCGUUGACAAAACGGAGGAAGGUGGGGAUGACGUCAAAUCAUCAUGCCCUUUAUGACCUGGGCUACACACGUACUACAAUGGCAAUUAACAAAGAGAAGCGAAGCCGCGAGGUGGAGCAAACCUCAUAAAAAUUGUCUCAGUUCAGAUUGCAGGCUGCAACUCGCCUGCAUGAAGUCGGAAUUGCUAGUAAUCGCGGAUCAGCAUGCCGCGGUGAAUACGUUCCCGGGCUUGUACAC